rnacentral:pre_miRNA from 1 species
ACUCUGGGUUUACUCUGGGUUUACUCUGGGUCCAUUCUAGUAAACCCAGAGUAAACCCAGAGUAAACCCAGAAAG